GUGAUGAGGGGAUUCUAGGUGACAUGUGAUGUAGCCCUCGAAUUCUGA
rnacentral:snoRNA from 1 species